GAUGAACGCUAGCUACAGGCUUAACACAUGCAAGUCGCGGGGCAGCAUGGGGGUUGCUUGCAAUCCCCGAUGGCGACCGGCGCACGGGUGAGUAACGCGUAUCCAACCUGCCCUUCACCACGGGAUAACCCGGCGAAAGUCGGACUAAUACCGUAUGUUGUCCAUUGACGGCAUCCGAUUUGGACGAAAGGUUUGGCGGUGAAGGAUGGGGAUGCGUCCGAUUAGCUGGACGGCGGGGUGACGGCCCACCGUGGCGACGAUCGGUAGGGGUUCUGAGAGGAAGGUCCCCCACACUGGAACUGAGACACGGUCCAGACUCCUACGGGAGGCAGCAGUGAGGAAUAUUGGUCAAUGGGCGUAAGCCUGAACCAGCCAAGUAGCGUGCAGGAUGAUGGCCCUAUGGGUUGUAAACUGCUUUUAUGCGGGGAUAAAGUGGCCCACGUGUGGGUUUUUGCAGGUACCGCAUGAAUAAGGACCGGCUAAUUCCGUG
rnacentral:rRNA from 1 species